rnacentral:rRNA from 1 species
GGUGACUAUAGCGGAGGGGCUCACCUCUUCCCAUUCCGAACAGAGAAGUUAAGCCCUCCAGCGCCGAUGGUACUGGGCCUAAAGCCCGGGAGAGUAGGUCGUUGCCC